GUAUCAACACAGAGUACAGCAGAUUUCAGCGAUCAUGUACUGCGCAGUAUAUGGAUGUUACAGUAACAGCAAAAAUAAUUCUGACCAUUCUAUUCA